rnacentral:lncRNA from 1 species
GCACGUACGUGCGGGAUUGAUUUCAAAAAUAAAAUUUGUUAUAAAAUUUUCAAAUAUAUUAUGUACGUACGGGAUUAUGUUUGUAAACGUAACUUUUAGGAAUUUUAUUAACAUUUAUAAUCUAAACCAGUAUCAAGUCAAUAUUUGAUUUUUAAAAAAAAAUUAGGUUAAACAAAAAAAACGAUACGAUUUAGUUUUAU